rnacentral:rRNA from 1 species
GAUGAACGCUGGCGGCGUGCCUAAUACAUGCAAGUCGAGCGAACAGACGAGGAGCUUACUCCUCUGACGUUAGCGGCGGACGGGUGAGUAACACGUGGAUAACCUACCUCUAAGACUGGGAUAACUUCGGGAAACCGGAGCUACUACCGGAUAAUAUAUUGAACCGCAUGGUUCAAUAGUGAAAGACGGUUUUGCUGUCACUUAUAGAUGGAUCCGCGCCGCAUUAGCUAGUUGGUAAGGUAACGGCUUACCAAGGCAACGAUGCGUAGCCGACCUGAGAGGGUGAUCAGCCACACUGGAACUGAGACACGGUCCAGACUCCUACGGGAGGCAGCAGUAGGGAAUCUUCCGCAAUGGGCGAAAGCUUGACGGAGCAAUGCCGCGUGAGUGAUGAAGGUCUUCGGAUCGUAAAACUCUGUUAUUAGGGAAGAACAAAUGUGUAAGUAACUAUGCACGUCUUGACGGUACCUAAUCAGAAAGCCACGGCUAACUACGUG